GGUUCCCCCUGCGCCUAGUGGUGAAGCUGGUCGCGGAGCCUCUGUGGCCUCGGUUUUGCGGCGGGACGCUGCAGCGCGAGGUGCUGUUCGGGCAAAAGAGCGCCUUUAUGCGAGGGCAGCAGAGAAGCGUCUUUGCACGCAGCGGAGGUUGGAAGCUCUCGUACGUGGGCUCUGUCAUCCACUUGCCAUCCCCGCCACCCCAAUGGGGGCUUCGCUGGCCGUGAGCCCCGUCCACCUUUCCGGGGCUUUGGAGGAUUUUCUGCUCUCUUUCUCUUCUGCACCACCCCGGGCUGGUUGGUCGUCAGUGGGAAAGUGGGCUACAAUAGAAGAAAUCUAACGUGUUCCUGCACUCGGUGCUUGCCAGGUUGUAAGGGAAUAUUUGCACAGACACAGCUGCCAACUGGCAGCAUUUUGGUGCAAAAUACUUUGCAUGACGAGCACAAAACAUGAGUGUACAUAUAAGGGAAAUGCUCUCAUUACGUGAUGAACGGUUGGGUGGCUGUUCAAUGUGGGGGGAUGCUAGUCUCAUGAAACAUCAUCACGCAGAAAGAGCCUGUGGUUUUAGGAAAGUGACCUCAGAAAGGCCAAAGUAGCAUCUCUAAGCUAGGGUCAGUAUUCAUGACUUAACAUCUUAGAAUAUAUCCUUGAGUUAAUAAUCACUACGAAGUUUUCUUUGUAGCUACCAGACUUCACUGGAAUUUAUGGGCAAAAUAUAUAUGUGGCAGUGUUCUCUGUGGAUAUUAGGAUGGGAUAUAGAUGCAAAUACGUGUUUCAGUGGCACUACUAAGAUUUGUGCAUUGCUUGAUGCUUGCACAGCAUAAAAGAGGAGGAGCUCAGUAUUAAGAAAUGUUGCACUAUAUUUGGGAACUCACUAAGAGGAAACAACAGUUAAAGGUUAAAAGGCUCAAGAGUGCUGCAAUUGAUUGGGUGCACAGAGCCUGCAGAAAAUGGGAUUGAACGGUCUUAGCUAGAUUGGAUGUGUUUUAUCUCCAGUCUAAUCAGCUGUAAAGAAUACGUGACAAGUGUGCAGAAAGGAAGGAACUUAAAAUAGGUUAUUUUCUGGGAUAAAUCAUUAACUAAUAUUUUUGCAUUAUGCAGUGUAAAAAUCAAGGCCUAUGUGGAAAACAAUGACCUGUAUGUUGUAGAGAACAUCAUCCACACCUGUUACGUCCUGUACCUGUGAAACUGCCUCAUGCUGUCCUACUCAGUACCUGAGCAAACUUAGCACUGCCUGCAGAGCUUUGCAGAGCUGAGUCCCAUUCAUGGAAAGGAUGACAGAGUAGGUCUCACUUCAGCCAUUUGGGCAACAAAUAGAGCAGGAACUUACUUAUAAAUAGGGUUGUCUUCCCACAUCUGCUAGAACCCAAGAUCCUUUGCUUGGGUUCAGCAGCCUGCGUGAGGCCUUGAGUUCCCUAGUGCUACCAUGGUGUACACGGUAUGUCUGGAAUCAUUAGGAAAAGUGACUGCCUGCCCUCUGUCUUGUUUUUGAAGGCUUUUCAUUACUGGGAUGCUCUAAAAAUGCAUCAGUUGCUAUUUUAGUCCUCUUGUGUUGUUCUGCUCCCUCCAGCAGUAUAAUGCUGAUUUACACUGUUGUGAGAAUCUGACAUCCAAAUAUUUGAAUAAAAAGAAAUCAGUCACCUUCUGAGUGCUUUGAUUUUCAAUCUCUGACAGAUUUAGCUGCGUGAGAGAAAUGCUACUGCUGCCUGUUUUGCUCAUUCCAGAGACUAAUUCCUCAACAUGGUGACAUAAGAAAAGGAAGAAAUCUCUUGUCUCCUGGAGCUUUGUCUCUGCUCUAGUUUUGACCGGCUCUGUUACUGAGGGUCAUUCUGAAGAUUGGUCAGCACUACAAGACUGAAAGUUUUUAAAAAAAUUUAGAAGAUCUGAUGCAGGAUAGUGGCUUGCACUAUAGAGAUGGGUUGCAGUGGUUGAGAUUUCUUUUUUCUUUCCUUUUUUUGUUCAAUGUUUUGUCCUAGAAUACUGGGAAGUUUUUUGUUCAGAUGUCAGAACAACUCAGUACAUUCAUAGUGAUAAAAUGCUUCAUAUGUGUGUUCAAAUCUCUAAACAAUUAUGCGUGGGUGACACCUCAGCUACAGCUCCAGAGUCUUAAUUUGCUUCUGAAAUCAGUUCCUCUCAGUGUCAGAAAUAACAUGCUGCCAUGGUGAUAAGCUGUGAGCUUCCCUGUCUGAAAUGUUAAUAACUUCCUGAAUUCAGACAAAUUCAUGUUCAUCUGCAUGGUGCCAAUUACAGUGAAGUGAAAAGAGAAGUGUAUAAAAACCUAGGUAUAUAGUCAGUUUGGGGCCUCAGGCAUGAAUAAUUAGGAUGAAAAGGAGCAAUCAUUAAUACAGAAAAUAGUCUCUGUGAAUACAUCUUAGUUUUGGGAAAUAUCUCCUCAGUGAGUAGGAUUGUAUUGAAAAUAUCAACUGAAAACCCAAAUUUCUUUUUCUGAAGAGUAGUUUCCCUGAUUUUUCAUGCACCCUGUCUUGGAUAAGCAAAUUGUGACUGUGACAAGCACAUGAAAUGCAAGUUCAGUGAGAACAGUAGAGCUGUUGAACUCACAGUGUACAAUCAUGCAUGUUUCUUAUUAGACAGACUUGUAUUUACAUCCUGUUAUUCUGUAUUCGCUACUGUUGGAGGUAUUGUUUCACACCAGAUCCCAACGAUUCCUUCUUACUGGAGCAGCGAUUGAAUAAACUGGAUAUCUAGGUCUUAAUCCUGCCACUUUCUACUUGGAAGACAGCUUGAUUACUGAGAAACAGAAGUAAAAGGACUCUGCUCUUUUUAUGGAUUCAUCACAUUGUUAUCCGAGUACUUAUAGCUUUGUAUGUUAUCUAAUGAUAAAUAAAAAGUGGGUAAGUGUCUGCUUGGCGUUCCAUGCUGGAGAGAGGAAAGAGUAUAAAAUUCUUAUUGCCUGAAUUGCAAACAGUUUAAUAGCACCAACUUGUGUUGAUCUCUCCCUCCAGCACUGCGUGUACUUAUGUUUGAUGCCGAAUUGCAAGAUGAAUCUGGAGAGGCAUACGAAGAGCCAUGUGGAUGUUUUUUCAAAAAGCAGGCUUUAAGUAAUUACUUCUGGGGCUGGCUGGAGGGCUGCUGCUUGACUUUCCGAAGCUGCUCUGCAUUUCAAAAAUGGAAUCAUCUGGAGAAUUCCCUUCUCUCAUCAUUUUAAUGGAGCUAACUGCAGAGUCAGGCAACUUCUGGUUGGUAUGUAGUGAUCCUUCAAAUGCACAGCCUUUCACUGAAGUGGGAAAUGCACUUCUGGUCUGAUUACAGCUCU